CCAAUCGAACUCGGAGAUAGCUGGUUCUCCCCGAAAUAGCUUUAGGGCUAGCCUCGAUUUAGAUUACCGGGGGUAGAGCACUGAAUGGGCUAGGGGGCCACAAAGCUUACCGAACCCUAUCAAACUUCGAAUACCGGAUAAUUGAUGAUCGGGAGUCAGACAGUGUGAGAUAAGUUUCAUUGUCGAAAGGGAAACAGCCCAGAUCUACGACUAAGGUCCCAAAGUUCAAGUUAAGUGGAAAAGGAUGUGCAAUUGCGUAGACAACCAGGAUGUUGGCUUAGAAGCAGCCAUUCAUUCAAAGAGUGCGUAAUAGCUCACUGGUCGAGUGAUUGUGCGCCGAAAAUGUAACGGGGCUAAACUUGACACCGAAGUCUAGGCAGAAGGAAACUUCUGGGUAGGGGAGCAACGUGUACGGGCAGAAGCAGAAGCGGAAGCGACUGUGGACUGUACAGGAGAGAGAAUGCCGGCAUGAGUAGCGAGAGCAAAGUGAGAAUCUUUGCCGUCGAAAGCCUAAGGUUUCCUGAGGAAGGCUCGUCCUCUCAGGGUAAGUCGGGACCUAAGCCGAGGACAAUAGUCGUAGGCGAUGGACAAUCGGUUAAUAUUCCGAUACCGCCGAGCAACCGGAUGCAGUGACACAGAAGGAUAGGCAGAGCGUGGCGAUGGUAGACCACGUCCAAGCAGUGAGGCUGUUGUGUAGUGAAGUACGCACAACGGAAGGCUGGGCUGUGAUGGGGAACGAUUACGAUCGGUAAGCUGCUGAAUUCACGCUGGCGAGAAAAGCUGCUACGAAGCGAAGGCGCCCGUACCGCAAACCGACACAGGUAGGCGAGGAGAGAAUCCUAAGACGAGCGGGAGAACCCUUGUUAAGGAACUCGGCAAAAUGACUCCGUAACUUAGGGAGAAGGAGUGCCCAGGAAUGGGCCGCAGAGAAUAGACCCAAGCGACUGUUUACCAAAAACACAGGUCUGUGCGAAGUAGAGAUACGACGUAUACGGGCUGACGCCUGCCCAGUGCCGGAAGGUUAAGGGGAAGUGUUAGGGCAACCGAAGCACGGAACUUAAGCCCCGGUGAACGGCGGCCGUAACUAUAACGGUCCUAAGGUAGCGAAAUUCCUUGUCGGGUAAG
rnacentral:rRNA from 1 species